rnacentral:rRNA from 1 species
CCCUUAGACGUUCUGGGCCGCACGCGCGCUACACUGAUGCAUUCAACAAGCCUAGCCUUGACCGAGAGGUCCGGGUAAUCUUUGAAACUGCAUCGUGAUGGGGCUAGAUUAUUGCAAUUAUUAAUCUUCAACGAGGAAUGCCUAGUAAGCGUGAUUCAUCAAAUCGCGUUGAUUACGUCCCUGCCCUUUGUACACACCGCCCGUCGCUCCUACCGAUUGAAUGUGUUGGUGAGGAGCUCGGAUUGGCAGCAGUUGGUGGUUCGCCACCGGCUAUUGCUGAGAAGUCCUCCAAACCGCCCCAUUUAGAGGAAGGAGAAGUCGUANCA